rnacentral:rRNA from 1 species
GACAGAGGAUGCAAGCGUUAUCCGGAAUGAUUGGGCGUAAAGCGUCUGUAGGUGGCUUUUCAAGUCCGCCGUCAAAUCCCAGGGCUCAACCCUUGGAUGCCGGUGGAUACUGCAGGGCUAGAGUCCGGAAGAGGCGAGUGGAAUUCCUGGUGUAGCGGUGAAAUGCGCAGAUAUCAGGAGGAACACCGAUGGCGAAGGCAGCUCGCUGGGACGGUACUGACGCUGAGGCGCGAAAGCGUGGGGAGCAAACAGG